rnacentral:lncRNA from 1 species
UGGCUGUGAAAUUGAGUUCCCCCUAUCUUCCUAGAAUGGACUUGAUCCACCAAACGCCUUUGGUGUCCUUGGGUCCUUCUUCUUCCGGUGGACUGUCGCUAUGUGGAGUCUUGUGGAACUUGCUCACGUCAUACCCUUCUUCUUCAGCCUUGAACCAGCUGAUUGUAAAUUUCUUUGUCCAUACGGCUGUCUGCUUAGUAUCUGCAAAACAAAAAAGCCCACCAAUCAGCCAAUGAAAAUACAAAAAGAAAGAAACAAGAAUCAGAGCCCAACUCAUGAACUAAGGAUGUAACUCUCUUGGAUCAUUCGGUAGUUGAAUAUUCUCCUUGAUCCUCGCUAUGUCUUGACAUGUCAACUAACAAAUCUUAAAUCAUAAGAUAAGCCCCACCUCAAUAUUUGGGCGAACAACACAAACAAGCUCCCCACAAACUUGUAAUGCUUCUGAUGUGACUUUGUAAUAUCUCUCACAAAUAGUAGAUAAAACAGGGGAGGAAAGCACCUAAAACAUCAUAAUAAAAACAGAGAAAGUAAACACCCUGCAGCUGAUUUCGUAUAAACCCAACUCAGAAGCAGGUAGCAUAAACAGUUUAUAUACACAACAAAGGUAGGAAUUAUACCGUUGAACAAAAGAUAAGAGAAAACUGUCGAACAAUUACAAACUUUCCAAUAUAGAACCUAAUUCACCAGCCCUCACAAUGUAAAGGCUCGAUGGCGCCCAAAACUCCCGCUUGAAUUGCAUCACAAAAACCAUUCAAGGGGAAAGGCUCAUCUAGCCUCUCCGCAAGGGCCAAAAGGUGAAAAAGGUCUUAACAAUCUAAUCAUGCCAAAAAGGAAGAAACACACCUCAAGAAGCACAGACCACGACUUCAGGAAACCAUCGUACAUGGAAUCACCCAUAGCAACCUAACAAGCCUUUGGCCACAGCUAUAACGGUUCGAAAAGGUCGAACGAAUAACUCAUUGCGAACCACGGAAGUAGGAGCCAUUGCCCCUCGGACGGCUGUAGUCAUUAUCCAGGUUGCUUCCCCUGCCCAAACUCUGACCACUCAGGCGUCCCCUUAGGCCCUCGGAUUGGUAUCCGCCUCUGCCUCUUCCUCGUCCUGGCAUUCAUUCAAAGAAAGUGUCAAAUGCAGAAGUAACGAUGAUUUAUAAGCAAAAUCCUAUCUUCAUGUUCUCCAAAAAGAUACUCGUCAAACAUAAUCAAGAUUUUAGCUGUUCCAAAUUUACAAGCACUUGCAGAGAAAUGUCACUCAAACCCCAAACAUCACUUUAACAGUUUAAUUGUGACAUCACCAAUAUCUCUAUUUCUAUCUCCAAAUGAACAGGAACUUAUAUUGCGAACCAAUUUUAUUGCACAUACCCACUCACCUGUAAACUAUAGUUACCUCAUAAAAUCUAUACUCUCACUCUGAAACACACAAACCCUACAAAUAGUCUGAGAGACCAAGCCUGCACACAGAUGGUGAAGAUGCUGCAAAAGACUCAUCUCUAAGCAAAACCUCUAGGAUAACAUAAAAAUCAUGAACAUUAAAAAGCCGAAUACACCAAGCAAUGCAGACACUUUCAUAACAAGACCAGGGAAUCAAGUAAUAAUUUUUCUAUUUCAC